CGCAUUCUGCAACAGUGGUUUUGAUUGUUGUCACCAAAGUAGUGUCUCUGAAAGUUAGUCCCUGUGAGGGAGUUGAGGGAGUGGAUACUGCUACAAAUGUUGAGGUUCUUGUUAUUACUGUAGUAGUACCACUUGUUAAUGGCAUUAUUGGUCUUAGAGUAGUGACAUCACUUGUGACUGUCGAUGUAGCAGUGGGAGUUGUGGCAUCACUUGAAGUGACUGUAGACGUAGUUGAAGUAGUGGUGGCAUCGCUUGAAGUGACUGUGGAUGUAGUUGAGGGAGUGGUGGCAUCACUUGAAGUGACUGUAGACGUAGUUGAAGUAGUGGUGGCAUCACUUGAAGUGACUGUGGAUGUAGGUGAAGGAGUGGUGGCAUCACUUGAAGUGGAUGUUGAUGUAGUUGAGGGAGUGGUGGCAUCACUUGAAGUGACUGUAGAUGUAGUUGAAGGAGUGGUGGCAUCACUUGAAGUGGAUGUUGAUGUAGUUGAGGGAGUGGUAUCUUCAUUUGAAUUGGGUGUUAAUGUAAUAUUACUUGAAGUCAAUGUAGUAGUGGUGGUAUCACUUGAAGUUACUGUCAAUGUAGUUGAAUGAGUGAUGACAUUACUUUGAGUGACUGUUGAUGGAGUGAUGGCAUCAUUUGAGGUGGGUGUUGAUGUAGUUGAGGGGGUUGUGGCAUUACUUGUAAUGAAUGUUGAUGCAAUAUCACUUGAAAUUACUGUUGAUGUAUUUGAGAGAGUGGUGGCAUCACUUGAACUGACUGUUGAGGGAGUGGUGGAAUCACUUGAACUGACUGUUGAGGGAAUUUUGGGAGGGUUGACAUCACUUGAAGUGACUGUUGAUGUAGUUGAGGGAGUGGUGGCAUCACUUGAAUUGACGGUUGAUGUAGUUGAGGGAGUGGUGGCAUAACUAGAAGUGACUGUUGAUGUAGUUAAGGAGUGGUGGCAUCACUUGAAGUGACUGUUGAUGUAGUUGAGGGAGUGGUGGCAUCACUUGAAGUGACUGUUGAUGUAGUUGAGGGAUUGGUGGCAUCACUUGAAGUGACUGUUGAUGUAGUUGAGGGAGUGGUGGUAUCACUUGUAGUGACUGUUGAUGUCAUUGAGGGAAUGGUGGCAUCACUUGAAGUGACUAUUAAUAUAGUUGAGGUGGUGGUGGCAUCACUUGAAGUGACUGUUGAUGUAGUUGAGGGAGUGGUGGCAUCACUUGAAGUGACUGUUGAUGUAGUUGAGGGAGUGGUGGAAUCACUUGAAGUGACUGUUGAUGUAGUUGAGGGAGUGGUGGCAUCACUUGAAGUGACUAUUAAUAUAGUUGAGGGAGUGGUGGAAUCACUUGAAGUG
ensembl:lncRNA